rnacentral:lncRNA from 1 species
CAUAAAUCCAAAAUUCCAUGAAUCAAAAUGAUCAUCAAAGGUAAUCUCAUGUUAUUCCAAGAAAUCAAUAUCAUGAUUUUGAUAAAACUCAUUUCAAAUUUAAAUCAUCAAAAUCAUCAAAAUAUCAACAUUACUUUCAAGAGAUUCAAAAUGGUAUACAUAGAUUUAUCAUAAUAAACAUCAAGAUCAAUAGGAUAGAGAAAAAUAAUUUUUCAAGGAAAAAAUAUUUUCCUCUUUUUAGUUGUUUCAAUUCAUAUGAUUUUAUUUCACUUAUACCAAAUAAAAACAUGUAUAAUG